rnacentral:lncRNA from 1 species
AGUGGAGGCAUACAUUAUGAAUGAAUGUCUGACAUUCUGCUCUAUAUACCUUCAGAGAGUGGAGACCAAAUUUAGGAGACCACAAUGAAAUGUCGAUGUUGACGACAUUCUGAUCGAUGGAUUGUCCGUGUUCUUCAAUGUUGCCUGACCAUAUGGUAAGAAAGAUUUUUAAAUGUUAACACCAUAAGAAACAAACGACAUGCAUUGGUAUGUGCUAAACAAUUGCGAGGAGGUGGAAGCGUACAUGAUGUGAGUAUACAUAUUUAAUUUUUUUUUGUUGAUAUAUGCAUGAAUGUACGUACUCGUAGACUCUAAAUUAAAAUAUAUAUGUUAUUACUAUAUC